UUUGGGAGCGCUGCCCGUCAAUUCAGAGGGGACAUUCUGCAAAGCUUAGCUUCAGGGGAUGAUGUCACCUCCCUGAGCUGUUGCUUACUGUCCCUGAUCUGCUUACUGGGUACAGUACUCGAGGCUCACACCAACCUCCAGGGAUCUGCAGCAGCUCCGAGAGCCGACCACACCCAGGAGAGACCUUAGGGAAGCAGGAUUCUGGCUUCUUGGAAUGAUUCCUAAAUUUCCCUUGAUAUCACUCACUCUCCCGGCUUGAAGGACUUAGACCAGUGUUUCUCCGUGUGAUUCCAUAGUUGCCAGGAUUCAGAGGGGUGCCCAGGGUUGCCCUAAGCUUUCUCCUUCCCGGAGUCCUGAGCUUCCUGAAGGGCUAUGUUGACAGGGGAGGACAUUGUUGGUUACCACUUCAUCCGUGAAGCAAGUAGCCUCUCUGAUUGGAAAGAGCGUACAGUUCGUAUGACUUAAAAGAUGGCACUCCUAGGUCUGUUUCCAUUUGGAGCUACCCUCUGCCCCUCUGGGCUUCUUUUACUGAGAGACUGUGGAUCACACACAUGUACAGAGGCUCCUCUGGGUACCAUGACAGCAAGCUAGGGACCAAGGGAGAUGGGGUAGACCAACGUGUACACACCUGGCAGCAUAGCUUUGAGCAGGGGUGGCCGUCUUGGCUGCCUACCCCAGCUCCCUGGGGCUUCUAGAACUGUUGGCCCAUGUGGUACAUGUGUUUCCCCUUCAUGCUGGGUGGGUGAGUGACAGUUGGUGGGGGCGGGAGGUGGGACCCACAAGGAUGUAUAAGUACAGAUUUUUAAAAAGAAACUCAUUUAAACUUCCUGGCUCCCAUUCAGAUGGGCGGUGAGCUCCUGUGUGGGCUGACUUGCUAAAGGUCACGCCCCCCGCCCCCCAUCAUCGAGCCCAGACCUUGUGACAGCACAUGAUUGGGAAGACAGGCAGCCUGGCGUGGGGGAGGGCAGCAGCAACCAGGCAGCCAGCUCUGGGGCUCUCCAGCUGUGGUUGCUAGAGGGCUCGAGGUGACCUCAUGGCCUGUACAUCAGCCAUUUGCUGGGAAGAGGCAUCGUUAACUCCAAGAGUCUCCAGCUAUGACCUGGCCAAAAGUUCCCUCCCUCAGAGAAAUGUUUGCUAAAGCAAACCCCGCUGUGAACAAGAAUGCUAGCCAGUUUAACGUGUGUGAAGAACAAAACUCACCGAGCCCUUUAGGAAGGUACCACCUGUCAUGAUAAAGCACUAAGAUACUGUGUCUGGGGACCAGUUAGUGAGAGCCUUAGCACAGUGCUGGGCAGUGCUUUGGGCUGUGUGUGUCAUAGGGGGGAAAGUGGUGUGCAGAGGCAUCUUUCUAGGCUUAUUCUGUUGCCAAGGGUGUCUUGUUCAGUCGGGGUUUGUAUUUACCAUGCUCGUACCCACUCUCUAUCUCCCAAACCAUUCUCACAUUCUCACAUCCAUCCUGCCAGAGGCCCCUCCUUCCUGCUCUACUGGGAUGGGCAGAGCUCAGAUGGGAUUUCCUAGAGCCUUCCAGAGUCUUGAUAAACUGAGUUCUGGGAGUCCUGGUGGAGACUCCCAAGGUCCUGGCCAAACAGGUGCUGGGACAUGGGACAGGCUACAUGUGCCUAUGUGCAGGGUCCAUGGGGCCCUCCUGCUCUUGGGCCACCAGGUGCCUUGGUGGUCAGCUCUGCUUUGCACACGCUGAAGGUUGCUUCAACUGCUUUCCCCAGGCUAGACGUUAGUGCUCUUUAAGAAGUGUUUAAGUUAUAUUUAUUUUGGUUUUUUUUGUUUGUUUUAAUUGCACAAAACACUAAGAUAGAAGGCUGGGCUGUUCUUCCUAAGCUCUACCUGCCCUCUGGGGCCUUUCCUUCAUAGCUGGAGGAGCCCUGAGCAGGUAUGGCCUCAAGAGAGAUGCUGUUCACCUUUGGCUGGCUGUAUUGAGCUUCAAGGUCGCCUGUAUGCUGACAACCCUCUGUGUAUAGGCCCCACGUCUUGAUCGAGGGUGCUCGCCCACCAGUGCCUUUUGGGAGGAGAGGAUCCUCCUUGCACCCUGACAGGCUCUCCUCUGAACUCCUCUCCCCUCUGGACUGUUACAUCCCCUGCCCUGCGCCCCUCAGUCAACUGUAGAUGCUAUCUACCUUCCCAAUAAAGGCUUUGGAGACCAUUACAAG
rnacentral:lncRNA from 1 species